AGAUGGCGACCGGCGCACGGGUGAGUAACACGUAUCCAACCUGCCGAUAACUCGGGGAUAGCCUUUCGAAAGAAAGAUUAAUACCCGAUGGUAUAAUCAGACCGCAUGGUCUUGUUAUUAAAGAAUUUCGGUUAUCGAUGGGGAUGCGUUCCAUUAGGCAGUUGGUGAGGUAACGGCUCACCAAACCUUCGAUGGAUAGGGGUUCUGAGAGGAAGGUCCCCCACAUUGGAACUGAGACGCGGUCCAA
rnacentral:rRNA from 1 species